rnacentral:rRNA from 1 species
AGUGAACGCUGGCGGCAGGCCUAACACAUGCGAGUCGAACGGCAGCACAGUAAGAGCUUGCUCUUACGGGUGGCGAGUGGCGGACGGGUGAGGAAUACAUCGGAAUCUACUUUUUCGUGGGGGAUAACGUAAGGAAACUUACGCUAAUACCGCAUACGACCUACGGGUGAAAGCAGGGGAUCUUCGGACCUUGCGCGAUUGAAUGAGCCGAUGUCGGAUUAGCUAGUUGGCGGGGUAAAGGCCCACCAAGGCGACGAUCCGUAGCUGGUCUGAGAGGAUGAUCAGCCACACUGGAACUGAGACACGGUCCAGACUCCUACGGGAGGCAGCAGUGGGGAAUAUUGGACAAUGGGCGCAAGCCUGAUCCAGCCAUACCGCGUGGGUGAAGAAGGCCUUCGGGUUGUAAAGCCCUUUUGUUGGGAAAGAAAAGCAGCAGGUUAAUACCCCGCUGUUCUGACGGUACCCAAAGAAUAAGCACCGGCUAACUUCGUG